rnacentral:misc_RNA from 1 species
UCCCCGUUUAAGCGAGGCAGUCUGUCCAGAGUGCUCCCGGCUCCCGCCGGGGUGGCAACAGGACACAAGGGUUGCGCUCGUUGCGGGACUUAACCCAACAUCUCACGACACGAGCUGACGACAGCCAUGCAGCACCUGUGCAAGCUCCCCUUGCGGGGUCGUCACCCUUUCAGGCUUCUACCACUUGCAUGUCAAGGCCAGGUAAGGUUCUUCGCGUUGCAUCGAAUUAAGCCCCAUACUCCACCGCUUGUGCAGGCCCCCGUCAAUUUCUUUGAGUUUUAAUCUUGCGACCGUACUCCCCAGGCGGCGCGUUUAUCGCGUUAGCUUCGCCACAGAAGGGGUCGAUUCCUCCUACAGCAAACGCGCACCGUUUAGGGCCGGGACUAC